UUGCUGUUUCCAAGUGGCUGGGCAGAUUGUGAACUGUGUUCAUUCUAUUUACUUGGGUCUACAUGUUGCUUAAACAGGAGCAUUAUGAAGCUGGCAUCUGAGACACUUUCUAUUGGACCAUUUCCAGUGUUUGCAGAAGGAUGGAUUCAGUUUUGUAAGGGAAAUGGAAUUCUUCAUGUCUGGAAGAGACACAAAAAUGGAAAAUUCAAUUGAAAAUAAUCACCAUAAAUAAUAAACUGGAGUACUGUGUCCA
rnacentral:lncRNA from 1 species